CAAAAGCGUGGUCGUCGCGAGAAUUCAUGGUCGAUUCUCUCUAUGGAUUCCUUUUAUACACACUCCAUCCUAUUUACAGAUAUGAGGCCUGAGCCAGCCAUCAUAACUACAAGAUUUGCCAGUUUCUGCUUGUGGUGGUGGAUUGGCCUGUCGUCAGCAACAAUCCCAUCUCAUCACUUGGAUAAACAUCAUCCCACUUGAUUGGAUAACCUACCUAUGGCCGAGCUACGGAUCUCCUUUUCCCCUUUCUUUCAAUGUCCUCGUGUACGCCCAUGCGAGUGUGGGUGUAUUCACGAGGACACCCUUUUCCCUAUCCUUCCUGGUGUUGGAUUCAACUUUUCAGCGGAUGAAAUGCGUGUGGAAGCCUGGCUGCAUUUCCCAGGCUUAAAGAGUUCCAAGAUUGUAGAAGAUUGAUCUCCAGAGAGUCAUCGACGGAGAGAGCGGUUAAAUCAAGUGCACAGUAUUGAGAUAAACGGACGGCUGAUGUGGGGAGGCAAAAGGUCAAAUGGAUUUCAAGGAAAAAAAAUAAGGGAAUAUACAGAAUUGGCCCAUUCAUCAACUGGCCAGCCAGCAGCGGUUAUUACGAUCUAUAAAAAGGGGGACCCGUCAAAUAAAUUGGUUUGGAAUUCCUCCAAGACGUUUUUGUUUUAUUUUUUCCUUUUUUUGUUGAUCGACCAUACUCGGCCGCAUUGGGAGAAUUAAAUAAGGGGGUCACGUGAGAUUGUUAUAAUUAGUCGGCUGACAUCAUCAGCGCAUGUAGAUUUACGAGCGGGGGGCUUCAAACAGCAUUCGAAAGUGCGCACACAUGCUGCUGCAACUGGGCGCAAAUGAUGCCAGUCGUUGAUUAACUCCCUGCUGAUUUAAUCGGCGCCCGUUUCUUGGAAUUAUCAGACGAAAAAAAGAAAAAGAAAAAAGGGGGGAAAGAAAUUUGGUGAAAAUUUGGGAAAACAAAUCGACGGGAGAUACGGCUGGUGUCUAUAGAGCUGCGAGAUUUUGGUUGAGUUUAUUGCGAGACAGUAAUAACGCCACUCCCUUAUCGUGUUGGCUGCCUCUCAGCUGUGGCUCCUAUACUAAUAUACGAAUGACUUUUGAAAUUGAUUAGCAUUCGAACGGGACGACACACGCAUUGCUCGCUCCCAAUUGAGUCCUCCUCACGUUGCACGCCACAUGAGACUCUAUACGUAAAGGGGGGAGGGAGAAGAAGAAGAAUAACGGCACCCACCGAACAAAAUUACUGGCAGCUCGAGUCACUUUGUCGUUAUCAAUGAAGUUUCAAGUUUCACUGUUGCGACUCUACAGAACAAAAAAAUAAGGAGCUGCGUGUCCGGUUCUGUUUCUUUCCUUAUUAUCAAGCUUAUUAUGGAAAGAUAUAUUUUGUUUUUCUCUCGCUCUCUUGUUGUGUUACUAUACUUUAAAGUGUUUGUCAACUCGUUUGUUUUUCUUUUUCUCCUGAUCUGAUGCGACCCGACAGCAAAUCCAUUCCCCAAAAAAGAAAAGGGCGCGUACAAACAGCACCUUAUGCUGUUUGGUUAUGACUCUCUUUUCUCGUUCGUCCAUUAGGAACCAACGCGGUUGGGAUACAAGGGCUGCGCUGGGCGACUGUUAUAAGAGAGCCAUCAGUGUCGGAGCACACACACACACACGGUCCGGCUGUGUGUUAUUAUUAUAAGUUAGAAAUUGGGAAUGUAGACUAGGAAAAGGGAGCCCCUUGUGUGUAGUAUAUCCAUUAGCUAUAGGCAUUUGAGUUAUAGGUGGCCAGGCAGUCAGGCCCCGGCUCGGUUGGUGGAUAUCCAACACUUGGACGAAUUUCUCGUCGCCGUCCGCUUCAAUGUUCUUCCCGCCGCCACCUCCCGCGCUCAUCAUUAGUUACCGUAUACCGCAGAUGGGGCUCGUUAUGAGUGCCGCUCGGUUUUGUCCCUCGGUCGGGCCGUGGUCGCAAUGUAAUAUCGAAAAACGAUGGGGGGAAAAAAUAAAAGGAAGGUUGCGCUCGCCAUGCAUGGGGGGUUAUUAUGCGCAGUACAUUAUGGAAAAAUACUUAUGACUUGAGGGUGAGAGUGUCAAAAAAAGGGGGACCUCUCUUUCACUUUGGUUUUUUGAUCAUUAGUCAAAUGGCAAAACGGCAUGAGCGCAAAUAGAGAGGCGAAACAGACCUAAUCGCUUUUCCCACACUAUAUAGUACUCCAAAUGUUGGGUAAUGGCUACUACACCACAGGCGAAACAAUCAGUGUAAAAUACUGGGGCAAAGUCUACUUUUUCUUUUUCUUUACGAGUUCCCAUAUAAACCAAUCAACUGCAUUCCUCAAUCGAUUCCGGCGGAAAGAUUCGCUCCAGCCUCAAUUCAGAGCCACACCUUAUCAAUAUAAUAUCACCACCGUGUAUACAGUCGGUCACAAUGCCGAGUCACACAUAACGAAAAUAUUUCUGUAUAUUCUCGUAUAUAGAAAUCAAAUCCCAAAAAAUGUUUUUCUUCUCCCCCCUUGUAAAAAAAAUUGAAUUGAAAAUUGAAUUGGGCGCGGAUCGACAAUGUGGAGGAAUUCGGGGAAUCCGCGUCCAUAUUUCUCCAAUGCGGCCAGCGUGUGUGUACGUCUAUUUUUCAAUGAAGAGUCUUCGCAGCUGUGAUAUGGAAAGAGGAGGAGUUAGUCAAGUCAAUAGGUCGCCUACAAUGUAACGAUAGCCAAAACCGCUUUGCACUUUUAUUCCCCUCCGAAAAAAAAAUGUACAACCGUAUACAACAUAAACUACAUACACACAUAGCCAUACAUGGUCUGAGCAUGGAGAGAGUGAAGUGGUUGAGAGAGAGAGGAAUACACAAAAAAAAAGUAAAAUCAGACCGAGAUGUUAAAGAAGCCAUUCGUUCUGGAUACCUGACAAUCAAUGGAGCGUCCCCGAAUAGGUCCCUCUGUCUGUGUUCAAAAAGGUGAAUGAACACAGGGCUGAAGAUUGUUGGGUUCCCUGCAUUAUGUGAAUGUAUACAAGAACCCAAAGUCUCUCUCUUGUGAAGACAAGAAAAGAAGAAGAAAAGGGGGGAGGAAAAUGUCUACGGUUUUCUUUUUUUUCCCCUUUCCUUCAUCCGCGUGUUAUAAUGGAUUUCGUAUGCACGCGCGCAGCAUGAUAUCCCCAAUUCUUUUUUUAUUAUUAUUUUCCAAAAGAAAAAAGUCGGAGAAAAUGUCCUUUGAUGCUGAUGGCGCGCUCUCCCCCGCGCAGUCAUCAUAGAUUCACAACCACUUUUUUGAGUGGUUCAGUCUAUCAAAAUCCAGGUGUUUGUCCCUUUUGGCUGGACCAUCAACUGCCUGCAGACAGUGCUGGGUGGUGGGGCGGUCUUGAAUGUAUAGGAACCCUUUCAAUAUAAACCCAACCGCGUCAUUCUUAUUCAUCCCUUUUUAGGGUGUAGUAAACGUUCCAUUCAUUUGUUGUAAUUGAAUCAAUCAGUUUUCAGCUUAAUUUUUUAAUUUUAUAUUGCAAUUUUGGCAAAUGAACUGCAAUAUUCAGAUUAGUCAUUUACAAGCACAUGAGAAAAACUAGUUAAUUGGUCCUUAUUGUAAUCAGAUUAUCUCAAUGUUGAGGUUUAAUUUAAUCACUCUACUUUAAAUGCAACAUUGAUUCAUAUUCUGGGGAUUUACCAGUUAAAUUACAGAAAAUUGUUGAUCGUCCCAAAUGCGACAGUUUAGUAACUAGUCUGAUUCCGCCAUCAAACCACUGGCCAAAUUACCGAUUGUGGGCGAUCAAUCAUGUUCAAAUAAUGUUAAUUGCAAUUGAUUGAUGUAUCUUAAUUCUAUUGAAUCUUCGUUGAGCUAUAAUCGCACAUUAAACGGAAGGAAUAUGGGAUUCGGUUGAAGAAAGAUAUAUCGCUCACAAAUAUUUCUCACGCCUUUAAGGCUGAAUAACUGUGCUCUAAUUAAAAUCUUUCAAUAUCUCUAAUGCAUUACAGUCAAUCAAAGAUAAUGCCAUUAAUUUAACGGGAUUCUAUUCGAAUUCCAACUGCUGGCGACCUUCGAUCGACGCUCUAGAUUUGCAAACGUUUUCAGGUGUAAACGUUUGGAUUCCGGAUAUUUUCUUGGAUAACCGCUUUAAAAGUCCAACUAAAUCUCAUUACAAGAUCUCUGGGUCAUAAUUGAAUUUUUCUGUGAUGUGUAAUAGAGUUCCGGAUAGAUUUCUGAUUUCUCUACACGAAAGUAUUUGCCUCUACUUAAAAACGCUCUUGUAAUGUCGGAACCCAUCAAAGUAAUUUUAAAUUCCAUUUUGACCAGAUAUUUUCUUUUUCGCGAUGCGCAGCACAUAUCUAUCAAAUGAACUGUACUUUCGAGUUUGAUUCCUUUAAUCUGAGUCAUUAUUGUUUGAGUGAUGACGUAACUCCGAUAUAUUAACUUAUUUGAUCUCUUAAGCAUUCGUA
rnacentral:lncRNA from 1 species